rnacentral:lncRNA from 1 species
CCAAUGUGAACUCUCAAACUUUUUCCAUUCAAAUUGGACACUCCUAACCUUUUAUGAAGCCAACCCUAGCUCAUGGUAUGGACGGGUAUUGUUGAAUCUUUUCCAUUUUUUUGUUUCAUAUUUUGGCGGAUCUUUUGUGUCUUUUCGAAUCCUCAAUCUCUAAUUUGAAUUCUCAUGCUUUUUCCAAUCAAAUUGGCCACUUCUAGCUUUUGC